UACGGGGGGGGCAAGCGUUGUUCGGAAUUACUGGGCGUAAAGGGCUCGUAGGUGGCCAACUAAGUCAGACGUGAAAUCCCUCAGCUUAACUGGGGAACUGCGUCUGAUACUGGAUGGCUUGAGUUCGGGAGAGGGAUGCGGAAUUCCAGGUGUAGCGGUGAAAUGCGUAGAUAUCAAGAGGAACACCAGUGGCGAAGGCGAGUCCCUGGACGAUACCUGACACUGAGGCACGAAAGCCAAGGGAGCAAACAGG
rnacentral:rRNA from 1 species